rnacentral:rRNA from 1 species
GAUGAACGCUGGCGGCGUGCCUAAUACAUGCAAGUCGAACGCUGGAGAUCUAGCUUGCUAGAUCGAAGGAGUGGCGAACGGGUGAGUAAUACAUAAGCAACCUACCCACGAAGACUGGGAUAAUCUCUGGAAACGGGGACUAAUACCGGAUAGGUAAUCGGAAGGCAUCUUCUGGUUAUUAAAGGUUAAAAACACUGGUGGAUGGGCUUAUGGCGCAUUAGUUAGUUGGUGAGGUAACGGCUCACCAAGACGAUGAUGCGUAGCCGGCCUGAGAGGGUGAACGGCCACAUUGGGACUGAGACACGGCCCAGACUCCUACGGGAGGCAGCAGUAGGGAAUUUUCAGCAAUGGGGGCAACCCUGACCGAGCAACGCCGCGUGAGUGAAGACGGCCUUCGGGUUGUAAAGCUCUGUUGUAAGGGAAGAACGGUAGAUAGAGAAUAUCUAAGUGACGGUACCUUACCAGAAAGCCACGGCUAACUACGUG